rnacentral:lncRNA from 1 species
GCUCUUUUGCUCCGACGUUGGAAAGUUCCGGGCGGAAAGAACUAACUAGCCGAAAAGUUCCGGAGGAACUUAAUAACUAGUUACUUUGUUCUUCCUCUGGUUUAAAAGUUCCACCGGAACAAAGUAACUAGUUGAAAAUUUCCAACGGAACAUAUCAACUAGUUAGAAAGUUCCUUUUUGCCAAAUUAGUCAAAACCGGAACUAACAAACUAGCCCAAAAGUUCCAGCGGAACUUAUCAACCAGUCACAAAGUUUCAUUUGGAGAAUUGAUGCAAAGUAAAAGCGUAACAUAUUAUAUUUGAACCUUUCAAAGGGGAACCAAGAUACUGAUUACAAAAGUCAAAAGGAACUUAUCAACUAGUCACAAAGUUCGUCUUUGGCAAAUUAGUCAAAACCGGAACUAACAAACUAGCCCAAAAGUUCCUUCUCAUGUGGGUACUUUUAAAAAUAUCAAUUUCAGAUUAAUGUAUAACAAUGAAUUACAACUUAUUCCGUUAUGAAG